UACGUAGGGGGCGAGCGUUGUCCGGAAUCAUUGGGCGUAAAGCGCGUGUAGGCGGCCCGGUAAGUCCGCUGUGAAAGUCCAGGGCUCAACCCUGGGAUGCCGGUGGAUACUGUCGGGCUCGAGUCCGGAAGAGGCGAGUGGAAUUCCGUGGUGUAGCGGUGAAAUGCGCAGAUAUCAGGAGGAACACCAAUGGCGAAGGCAGCUCGCUGGGACGUGACUGACGCUGAGACGCGAAAGCGUGGGGAGCAAACAGG
rnacentral:rRNA from 1 species